rnacentral:sRNA from 1 species
CAUUUUAAAAGCCUCUUUUCAAAUAAAGCAAAUGCAUGAAAAAGAUCAUUGCUCUAGGUUUAUGAUCAAGAAUAGAAGCGGAAGGGAAAUAAAGAGUGAAAGGAAAAUAAAGAGUGAAAGGAAAUAAAGAGUGAAAGGUCACCAUGGAACUUCAUAGACUGAUUCCCCAGAGGCAUCUAAAUCACAUCAAUGAACAAAACUGAACAAGAUCCCUGCCUUUAUGCCACUCAAAUUCUAGCUGGGGGAGACACACAAUAAGCAAUAAGCUUAAGUGAAUAAAUUAUAUUCUAUGUUAGAAUAUAAGAAAACUUAGAAAAAAGUAAAGCUGAACAGGGUAAGAGGGACUAGGAAUGGUGAGGGGUAGAAGCUAGGUGCAAUAUUAAAUAGCAUGGUCACAGUAGGCUCCAUUGAGAAAGUGACAUUUGAGCAAAU